rnacentral:rRNA from 1 species
UAGGGGGCAAGCGUUAUCCGGAAUGAUUGGGCGUAAAGAGUACGUAGGUGGUUUUGUAAGCGCGGGGUGAAAGGCAGUGGCUUAACCAUUGUAAGCCUUGCGAACUGCGAGACUUGAGUGCAGGAGAGGAAAGCGGAAUUCCUAGUGUAGCGGUGAAAUGCUUAGAUAUUAGGAGGAACACCAGUGGCGAAGGCGGCUUUCUGGACUGUAACUGACACUGAGGUACGAAAGCGUGGGGAGCAAA